rnacentral:lncRNA from 1 species
ACUCUAGAAUUUUGGUAUGGGCUAGGCAGAGGGUGACCAUAUGACCAGCCUCCAACAUGAAACUCUGGGCAUUGAAUCUCUACUGACCUGCUCAGAGAUGGGGCCCCACUUUGCUGUCCAGCCUUGGUUCAAAACUCCUAGGUUCAAAUGGUCCUCCUGUCUCAGCCUCCUAAAGUUCUGGGAUUACAGCACUGGGGAAGAAGCAUUUCUAACAGGAGCCUGCAUGCUGAGGAUGGCAGAGGAAAAAGACAGAGCCAUACUGAGCCCUUGGAGAUGCCACUGAGGAGCUACGCUAACCAAUCCUGGAGGCACCAUAACCUAGGACUUCUUCUUAUACAAGGAUGCUAGAGAGCAGUCUUCAGCCUGAGACCCAUCUCUAGCUUCUAACAACUCAGUAUACUCCUAUGAACAAAAUUUGGAGCAUAUUUGUUUCUCUCUACCUGAUUUCUUCAGACUGUGGAAACUAUUUGAAUCAAACUUGACUUAUGGAUCCAAUAAAGCCCUUGGAAAAACUGGCCUCAUAUUUUGUGUAAACAGUCCCCGUACAGGGUUUCUGACUUGUGAUAAAGUCAAGGCCCAAAGGAGUUCUGUA